CCUGGGGCACCUGGGACUCAGUCCCACCCCUGCUCUCCUUUGCCACACCUGGAAGAUUUUCCUGGUUCUGGUGUGUUCCUUUCAUUCCCAGUUCCUGCUCCCAAGUCCUCAUGCUGAAGCCCAGUGCCACAGCGAGGUUAUAGAGGGUGGGGGUGGUCUGUUCCCCAGGCAGCCUCUGGCCGGCUUCCUCCUCUGCGAUUCUCCACCCUCCGCUUCCCUCUGGUCUGGGCCGUUCUGUCAUCACUGAUGUGAAGAGCUCUGCCUCCCCUUCCACUGGCUUCUGCUUUCCACACUGCUGCAGCCUGCCCCCACCAAACCUGCCCGCCUGAGAACCUGGGUGAGGAGGCCUCUCGGACUGGGAGGGCCAGGUGAGGUCGUGCAGGUGAAGCGCCCACAGGUCAGCUGUGCCCGCUGGGACCUCAGCAGCCCUCGCUCCUGUACCCCAGGUGACCAUGAGCACUGGGGCCGGACACCCAAGACCGUCCCAGACUGAGAAGACCAGAUCUGGAGAAGAAUCGCAGUCCAUGAAAUCUGCAUCUCUUGAAAGAAAAACCCAGAAGGCCACCUCCCUAUCAAAGGCAGAAUGAACCCAGUUUGGAAACGUGUUUAAAAUGCACGGGGGAGUGGCAACCAUCCUAAAUUACCCCGCUAGCCCUCCCGAGAUGGGCAGGAGAGGCCGGCGGGUGGCCUGCUGAGCCUGGGAGGCAGAGACGGGGAGUGAAGCCACAUGGCCCCAUGGGGCCAUCCAGCACUGCAGAGGUCUCAGCAGCAUCCCGCCCCCGACAGGUGCCACGUGACCCCCAAGCUGAACACAGAGCACACACCCACAAGACUACAAAAUCUCCCAACAGCCUCAUUUCAUAGAACUGCAUUUCGCUGACUUCUGUAGGAUGCGUGGCCAGGGAACCCUUUGAGGGAAUCCUCGAGAAGGUGCCCUGAGUUUACAGAGUGGGCAAUGUCCCCUCAAGGACAAACUCUUCCGCUGACCCCCCCCCCCC
rnacentral:lncRNA from 1 species